GGGUUGUGAGGUUAAGCGACUAAGCGUACACGGUGGAUGCCCUGGCAGUCAGAGGCGAUGAAGGACGUGCUAAUCUGCGAUAAGCGCCGGUAAGGUGAUAUGAACCGUUAUAACCGGCGAUUUCCGAAUGGGGAAACCCAGUGUGAUUCGUCACACUAUCAUUAACUGAAUCCAUAGGUUAAUGAGGCGAACCGGGGGAACUGAAACAUCUAAGUACCCCGAGGAAAAGAAAUCAACCGAGAUUCCCCCAGUAGCGGCGAGCGAACGGGGAGGAGCCCAGAGCCUGAAUCAGCAUGUGUGUUAGUGGAAGCGUCUGGAAAGGCGCGCGAUACAGGGUGACAGCCCCGUACACAAAAGCGCAUGUGUUGUGAGCUCGAUGAGUAGGGCGGGACACGUGGUAUCCUGUCUGAAUAUG
rnacentral:rRNA from 1 species